UCCAACAACAAUUCAAGAAUCAUGCAGAUUGAGGGAGUGCCCCACAUGUAGACAAAAUUGAGAGAUUGAUGGAUGGAAAAUAACCUACCACUACCAAAGCAUCUGGCCAGCUGCGUAUGAAGACAAAGAUGGAAAAGCAAUAAUAGAAAAGCAUCUAGCCAGCUACAUAUGAAGCCAAAGAUGACAAGGCAAUAAUAGAAGAAAAGAUGCCACUUUGAUGAAAAAGCAAAAAAUGCAUGUGAAGAUGUAGAC
rnacentral:lncRNA from 1 species